GUGCAGCAGGCGCGAAUUUUUCUCAAUGGGGGCAACCCUGAAGGAGCGACGCCGCGUGGAGGAUGAAGGCUUUCGGGUUGUAAACUCCUGUCAUUUGAGAACAAGUGCCAACAAGUAACUACUGUUGGCUUGAUAGUAUCAGAAGAGGAAGGGACGGCUAACUCUGUGCCAGCAGCCGCGGUAAUACAGAGGUCCCAAGCGUUGUUCGGAUUCAUUGGGCGUAAAGGGUGCGUAGGUGGCGUGGUAAGUCGGGUGUGAAAUUUCGGAGCUUAACUCCGAAACUGCAUUCGAUACUGCCGUGC
rnacentral:rRNA from 1 species